AUUGAACGCUGGCGGCAUGCCUUACACAUGCAAGUCGAACGGUAACGCGGGGCAACCUGGCGACGAGUGGCGAACGGGUGAGUAAUGCAUCGGAACGUGCCCAGUAGUGGGGGAUAGCCCGGCGAAAGCCGGAUUAAUACCGCAUACGACCUACGGGUGAAAGCGGGGGACCGUAAGGCCUCGCGCUAUUGGAGCGGUCGAUGUCAGAUUAGGUUGUUGGUGGGGUAAAAGCCUACCAAGCCGACGAUCUGUAGCUGGUCUGAGAGGACGACCAGCCAGACUGGGACUGAGACACGGCCCAGACUCCUACGGGAGGCAGCAGUGGGGAAUUUUGGACAAUGGGGGCAACCCUGAUCCAGCCAUGCCGCGUGCGGGAAGAAGGCCUUCGGGUCGUAAACCGCUUUUGUCAGGGAAGAAACGCUCUGGGCUAAUACCCCGGGGUAAUGACGGUACCUGAAGAAUAAGCACCGGCUAACUACGUGCCAGCCGCCGCCGUAACAC
rnacentral:rRNA from 1 species